CUUCCUUUUAUUUCCUUUUAUACAUCGCCUAGGUUGAUAGGAGAGGAGCAAGCGAAAGCCACGUCAAGAAAGGAAAUCGAAGAUUGUACUACCGAGCCAAAGACUAUGAAAAUCUCUUCCUCUCAACUCAGAUGAUCAUCUUAGGUGAAAUUGUGGCUCAUGAGGCUUCACCCGAUUAUGGAUUUUGGUUUCAAAUUGGUGGAUGAGGAUGAAUGGGCAUUAUCACUAUUGGGAAACAUGUACUAAAAGAUAUGUGUUUCAACUGAAAGCACUAUAAAGUGACCUUGAUAGAUCGACGACUGAUGCCAAUCUAGGAUUUUAGAUUUUAGCCAAACGAAAGUGUUAAGAUUGCAUGAACCCCAAGAUUUUAUGAAGAAGUUACCAAACUUUUACAUUUCCUUUUCUUACUCAUGUUUCACAUUUGAGCCACUUAAUUUUGAAUGUGUAAUUACAUUUGAAUCAUGGAAAGCAACAAUCAAAUAAUUGAAUUAUUUUUUGAAUGUGUAAUUACAAUGUACC